GGCUAACUCCGUGCCAGCAGCCGCGGUAAUACGGAGGAUCCAAGCGUUAUCCGGAUUUAUUGGGUUUAAAGGGUGCGUAGGCGGCCUAUUAAGUCAGGGGUGAAAGACGGUAGCUCAACUAUCGCAGUGCCUUUGAUACUGAUGGGCUUGAAUGUACUUGAAGUAGGCGGAAUGUGACAAGUAGCGGUGAAAUGCAUAGAUAUGUCACAGAACACCGAUUGCGAAGGCAGCUUACUAAAGUAUGAUUGACGCUGAGGCACGAAAGCGUGGGGAUCAAACAGGAUUAGAUACCCUGGUAGUCCACGCCCUAAACGAUGAAUACUCGAUGUUGGCGAUAUACGGUCAGCGUCUAAGCGAAAGCGUUAAGUAUUCCACCUGGGGAGUACGCCCGCAAGGGUGAAACUCAAAGGAAUUGACGGGGGCCCGCACAAGCGGAGGAGCAUGUGGUUUAAUUCGAUGAUACGCGAGGAACCUUACCCGGGCUUGAAAGUUAGUGAAUGAAGCAGAAACGCUUCAGUCCUUCGGGACACGAAACUAGGUGCUGCA
rnacentral:rRNA from 1 species